GAUGAACGCUGGCGGCGUGCCUAACACAUGCAAGUCGAGCGAUCUUCUUCGGAAGAGAGCGGCGGACGGGUGAGUAACGCGUGGGUAACCUGCCUCAUACACAUGGAUAACAUACCGAAAGGUAUGCUAAUACAAGAUGAUAUAAGAGAUUCGCAUGGAUUUCUUAUCAAAGCUCCGGCGGUAUGAGAUGGACCCGCGUCUGAUUAGCUAGUUGGUAAGGUAAUGGCUUACCAAGGCGACGAUCAGUAGCCGACCUGAGAGGGUGAUCGGCCACAUUGGAACUGAUACACGAUCCAAACUCCUACGGGAGGCAGCAGUGGGGAAGAUUGCACAAUGGGCGAAAGCCUGAUGCAGCAACGCCGCGUGAGCGAUGAAGGCCUUCGGGUCGUAAAGCUCUGUCCUCAAGGAAGAUAAUGACGGUACUUGAGGAGGAAGCCCCGGCUAACUACGUGCCAGCCGCCGCCGUAACAC
rnacentral:rRNA from 1 species